AAAUGAAUUACCCUCAUUCUUCUCUUAGCAGAGCAUAUAGGCCAGACCUCAUUAGAAUUCAAUAUCGCUUUGCUUUUCUAAUGUUAAUGUACCAGUUAUAUAAGAAAUACACGUGUGUGUGUGUGGGGGGUAUUCCACCAUUAUGCUCAACAUGAUAUCAUAAUUCCAAAAACUGGACAUAACCUUUGUUAAAGGGAAUUAUUGCAUUUUGCCGUUUUAUCUUUUGCUUCUAAUGUAACUUAAAUUUCCAUUCUAAUAGUGGAUUAUAGAGGCCUUAAUUCUUUGUGUCUCUCUUAAAGCUGCAGUGGCUACAUAGCGCUAGCUUUAUGGCUUUCUGUAGAAAUGCCGUGACUAAAGAUCAGACUGUAAAGGCUGCGUCCACCUCACUGUGAGAGGGAACGCAGAGCGGUAUGCUAAUAAACAACUGUACAAGUUUUCCACCUCUAGGAAUCACUCAGAGCAUUAAGGCUCAGAGUCUUUUGUCUGGUGUGCUUCAAGAAGUAUAAUGAAAACAAAAACACAAACACAUAAAAAUACAAUUUAUGCCCUUUUAUCAAGCAAAGAAAAAGUUGUUUAACAUUUGAAAAGGGAGCAGUAAUGUAAAUUUAUUGACAAUUUUAUUGUAAUAAUUAGAUGUUUACACAGUCUGGACAUUGUGGCUAAAUCACUUGGAGCAUGUUUAUUUGCACGGAGCCGUUUCCUGGGCACUGCGGCAGGUUCAUUAAGAAGACAUACUAUAUUAGGACUCGGAGAACCAGCCGCUCCUGCUUGCUGCUUCUCUGUUUUAUACAUAUAUUUAAAAACUAAAAACAAUGCAGCAAAAAUUCAGAAUUUCCUUCGUAAGGGAAACAACAUCCCCCGUGGCCUUGAAAUAGCUUGAAAAUAAAUCUCACCUUGAAUAUCUUACUACAGGGCAUUUGAAAGACCACCUCUAAUGACUCAACUAGCUUUUAAUACCUAGUGUAUAAACGGCGACCUGGUUUUGACUAGGAAUAAAUUAGAGCUGUGUAUUGGGGCAUUCCUUACUUUAUCCUUUUC
rnacentral:lncRNA from 1 species